rnacentral:pre_miRNA from 1 species
AAUAAAUUAAUUUUUCACUUUUUACCUAUAAUUUUUGACUCUACGUCUUAUUAAAAAAAUUUGCGAUUAAUAUUUUUGUUUUUAUUAGAUUAUAAAUCAUGAAUAAUACUUUACGUGUGACUAAUUUUUUUCUAAUUUCCUGAAAAUUUUUCAAAUAAGACGAAUGGUCAAACAUCAGACACGGAAACCGAAGAAUUGGUUUUUC